ensembl:lncRNA
GUCCGUCCAUCCCAAUGGUGUCCGUCCGUCCGUCCAUCCAUCACAGUGCCGUCCAUCCGUCCCAUUGCGGUGUCCGUCUGUCCGUCCAUCCAUCCCAAUGGUGUCCGUCUGUCCGUCCAUCACAGUGCUGUCCGUCCAUCCCAAUGGUGUCCGUCUGUCCAUCCAUCCCAAUGACAUCCAUCCAUCCCAAUGGUGUCCGUCUGUCCGUCCGUCCAUUGCAGUGCUGUCCGUCCAUCCAUCCCAAUGGUUGCUGUCCGUCCAUCCAUCCCAAUGGUGUCCGUCCGUCCGUCCAUCCCAAUGACUGCCGUCCAUCCGUCCCAUUGCGGUGUCCGUCUGUCCGUCCAUCCAUCCCAAUGGUGUCCGUCUGUCCAUCCAUCCCAAUGACGUCCGUCCAUCUCAAUGGUGUCCGUCUGUCCGUCCAUUGCAGUGCUGUCCGUCCAUCCAUCCCAAUGACAUCCAUCCAUCCCAAUGGUGUCCGUCCGUCCGUCUGUCCAUCACAGUGCCGUCCAUCCAUCCAUCCCAUUGCAGUGUCCGUCUGUCCGUCCACUGCAGUGCUGUCCGUCCAUUCAUCCCAAUGGUGUCCAUCCGUCCAUCCAUCCAUUGCAGUGCUGUCCGUCCCAUUGCGGUGUCCGUCUGUCCGUCCGUCCCAGUGCUGUCCGUCCGUCCAUCCCAAUGACGUCCAUUCAUCCCAAUGGUGUCCGUCCGUCCGUCCAUCACAGUGCUGUCCAUCCAUCCAUCCCAAUGGUGUCCGUCUGUCCGUCCGUCCAUUGCAGUGCUGUCCGUCCGUCCAUCCCAAUGAUUGCUGUCCGUCCAUCCCAAUGGUGUCCGUCCGUCCGUCCAUCCCAAUGACGUCCAUUCAUCCCAAUGAUGUCUGUCCGUCCAUCCAUUGCAGUGCCGUCCAUCCAUCCAUCCCAAUGGUGUCCGUCUGUCUGUCCGUCACAGUGCUGUCCGUCCAUCCCAAUGCUGUCCGUCUGCCCAUCCAUCCCAGUGAUGUCCGUCCGUCCGUCCAUUGCAGUGCUGUCCGUCCGUCCAUCCCAAUGGUGUCCGUCUGUCCGUCCGUCCAUCCCAUCCCAUCCCCCCACCUCUCCAAUGCUGGAAGAGGCGAUGCGGAGGAGGAAGAAGAGGGUUUGGGGGGGGGGGGGGGGG